GUCAGAAGGAACAGGGCCAGUAGAAGCGUCUGUGUCUGUGAGAGAAGAUUGGAGCAUCUGGGGGUUCCUUUUCUGGAGCUGUCCUGGAUGUAGUAAGCACCUGGACUUGACAAGAUGCUGAAACACACACGUAUGUUAUAUUAGAGGUAGAGGAUAAAGGCUCAAGUCCAAGGAAGCAGCAAGAAGCCACCAGCACGCCACCAGAAGAUUUUUUUUUCUCUCUAUGGAGUCCCAACAAAUGAUGACCAAUAAACAAUGGUUAAUGUUCCUUCAUGAGCCUGCCUUAGCGAAACAUCAUCUCACCUGUGCCUGCUUCCGGAAAACACUCUUUCUCGAGUCUGCCCCAGCAAAACACCAUAUAACACGACUGACUUUCCAAAGACACCAGAAGUUUCCUCUUCCGUCACCUAACUCUGGUCAUCAUGCGCUCUAUGUCUAACAUCUAAUUUGUGACAUUUGGAUGUCUUUCUCAGGAGGCUAGCAAGGACAAGCCUGUCAGUGGCGUCCUUGUGGUGUGCAGUGUGGACCUCUGCAGAUCCUACUUCUGAAUCCUGGAAAGAAGUAAGCCGUUUAGAGGUCAGCCACCCCUUGCCUUUGUAGACCAUAAAAUAA